CCAUGUACAUUUAAACAAAAUGGAGGCUCUUAUUGAGGCUUGCUUUGACGUGGCAGGUGAGCUUAUAUAUUCAAAUGGAAUAAAACUAAAGAGCCUCCAUUUUGUUUAAAUGUACAUGG